CAGAGUAAUUUGCCCCACUUCAUUUCUCAGGUGCCUCUGUGCACCAGCUUCUUGCCCGGUCACUUGCAGGGCAUUUAAGGAGUUGCCAGCGUCCCUGUGCUGAACCCUCCAUGCCUCUCUGCUUGCCAAGAUGUCAGGGUUUCUGGAGCUCCUGAGCUCCUCACCAGCAACAGAAGAUAGCAGCUGCCUUGGGGACCCAAGCCCCUGCCUGUGGCCGGUCAUGAAAUGGAGACCAGCCUUUGGACCACAAGUCAUGUUCAGGGCUCCAGGAUUCUCACUGUCACAGUAGAUGCUUGUAUAUUUUGGCCCAUCCAAACAAGACUGCAAUCUGUUUGGGUUGACACAACCUUCUACACCAUCCAGAUCUUUUACCACCUCCACGUUGGCUGAUUUCAAAAUUUUACGUUCACUCCCCGCUUUGUAGAAGCUUCCAUCCUGCUGAGACAGGAGAGUUGGCUCAAGUUCAUUGAUCCAGUUUGGCACAUUUAAAUCCUUGCCAACUUUGGGGAGUGUAUGUGACUGAGCAUCUUGAGUUGACCGACAACUAUUGGCUCUGGAGACUAGACAGAAGACAACUUCACCCGUUUUGCUUCUGAGAACUUCACCCUUCAUUUUGUUCUGCACAUCCUUUUCUCUGGGCCAAGUUUCCAAUUCAACCUGUGGAUAUUGCACUUUGAUACCUUCAUGUUUCAGACCAGAUUGCUUAUGGUUUUCUUUGGUGCUUCCUGCAGGGGUGUGAUAUAAUGGGAGGCCAAUCUCUCUGAAGUGUGGUGCCACUCUGGGACAUAGAUCCUUAUCUAUGGCAUGCCAACUGCUAGGACUGGUGCGAGCACACAGCUGUUCUCCAAAGCCUUUAGCGUCAAUACAUUUUCUCUUUUGAUUUACUUGGUCCAUUUUCUCAUUUCUACCAACUUCCAACCAAUUCUGUCCAUCAGAAAUUGUGCUCCAAAAGCAAUCUGUUGGAAGGUUAGGUCCAAGUUCUGAAACUGGAGGAUAUCUUCUGUCCUUUUCCCCAUCAAACUGAUCAUAAUCACUGGCUUGAAAGGUUGGUGGCACAUUAGAGCCACAAAGAUUACCUGUGCUCUGAUAUCUCCUUUCUCUGCUGAAUGGCUGCUGGCAGAUAGAGAGAGGCAGCUCUUUCUGCUCUGCAAAGCUGCUUACCUGUUGAUCGAUCACCUGGCCUCUCUGGCUCUUCUCAAACUGUGCACUCUUCCUUUCCUGUUGCGUUUGUAUUUUCAUCUGCAAGUACAUCUCAUAACUUGGAGGUUUCAGGGGACGGUCUUUGUAACCUUUCUCUCCCAAGCUACUAGGGGGCAGUGGCAUCGCCAUUUCUGAUGAACCUCUCAGUCUGUGGUCCGAUACUUUGGAAGCCUCUUUGUGCGACCAGAGGUUUCUUGUAGACUGCUCUUUAUUAAAAGGACACACUUCGACCUGUCUGUGAUCAGCAGGUUGGCUGACAGAAGGCCAUUGUGGCAAACCCCUUCUAUAGAGGGUCUCCCAUUCCUCAUAGAUUGGCUCGUACAGCAGAGGCAGAGGGCAUCUGGAUGGCUUUGGCUUAUGUCCCAGUGGCCUCUUGACUUGCUCUGAAGAGCUCCAGCCUCUGCCCAGGUUUCUACACUCUUGCUUCCUCUUAUGGCGCAUCUCCAGAUGAUCCUUUGACUCCCACAUUUCCAAGUCUCCUCUGUUCCAGUACCCCUCUUGCUUGGAAGUCUUUGCCUCUCUGAUUGGCACCGCUUCCCACCGGUGCGUCUGUGCCUCCCCAUGCUCACCUCUGGACUGCACUGCCCCACAGUUGGUGGAAUCCUGCAAAAUAUAUGGCCUCAGCACCUUCUGUCUCCUGGAGUUGAAGUCGCUUGCUGAGGCCAGAGGUGGUAUCAUAGGAUUCUCCUGAUAACUUAAUUCCAUUUCUCAAAGCUUCAGAGGAGUGGGGUCUCCAAAUACAAAGGACGAGAUUCAGGAGUGGAAGCAGGAAGCUGAACUCUAGGUUUGUACAACACAUGACAGCUGUGGCAGAGUGGGGAGCACUCUCACUGGAGUCAGAAGCUCAUGGUUUCAGCUUCACCUCAGAGACAUGAGCACGUAACCGAGGCUGACACUCCCACUGUGGCCCCGGGACGCGGGGUUGCUUUCGGAAGAGCCAUUAAACAGAGGUCCCAGCCACCCUCGUAGGGACAUAUUAAAGAUUCCAUGGCCAGUGUUUCAAAAGGAGAGUGGGAUAUUCUACCUGAUGUCCUGAACGAUAUUCAUCCCUCCAUCAACACCACUUUAAAAGAAAAUGGACCAGCCACUCUUUCACAGUGCUGUUUGUGGGAUCUUGUUGUGCACAAAUUGGCCGCCAUGGUUCCUGCUUUACAACAGUGACAUUACUUCAGAAAGCAUCCCUUGUGCUGUAAAGUGUAUUGGGAUGUCCUGGAGCCCUGAAAGGCACUAUAGAAACACAAGUCUUGCUUUUACCAAGUGCUAACUUACUUAACAUGUUGAAGGUUUGAAACUCUGAGGGAUGUCCAGGAGGAAAGAAGUGACAGAAGAGAAUCAAGCCAUUACAGUGCUACCUGAAAACUAAAGGUGAAGUCCAUUCCUCAUUUAAGGCUGUUCCACUAAAAAUGAGGCAGCGUGAAUAUGACUCAAUGUUCCUGGAGUUGCUCCUGCAUAGAACAAGGUUCUUACUUUCAUGCACAACAAUGGGAACAUUAUAACAUUUGAAAACCAAGACAUAUAUAUAUAUAAUGUAUAUAUAAAAACUUACUCACCAACUGUUCAAUGUAUGGUGUAGUCUUCCCUGACUCUCGCUGUGUCACUUUCCCUCAGUCUGUCUCAGCUUAAUCUUUAGCUCGCUGCCUGGUGUUUGUUUUUGAAAAUAUACUCUAAUAAAGUCCUGUGUUUGUUCCA